rnacentral:rRNA from 1 species
GAUCCUGGCUCAGAAUGAACGCUAGCUACAGGCUUAACACAUGCAAGUCGAGGGGCGAGCAUGGUCUUAGCUUGCUAAGGCCGAUGGCGACCGGCGCACGGGUGAGUAACGCGUAUCCAACCUGCCUUACACUCUUGGACAGCCUCCUGAAAGGGAGAUUAAUACAAGAUGUUAUCAUGAGUAAGCAUUUUCGCAUGAUUAAAGGUUUACCGGUGUAAGAUGGGGAUGCGUUCCA